GUGGACAUCUCCAUUCUGAUUGAUUUCUCUGAGCAAGUUAUCUGCUCCAGCUUUCUCCUCUUUGAGAGUAGUAGAGGAAUCUGAGCCUACUCUCUCUUUUGAAGAAGCGGGUUGAGAAUUGGAUACAGCACCGAAACUUCCAAAAGAAAAACCAGGCUCCGAUUCUGAGGAAUUAACUGGCACCUUUUCUUCCACGUGCUUAUUCCCAUCACAACCAGAUGGCUGGUUCAGCAAUGACUUUGUUUCAUCUUCAGUAAAUGAACCAAAUAAAAAUAUCUUAGAAUCACUCAUGUUGUGCAGAAAACAGCAGUGCCGGAACUGAUUGUUGAUUUCUGAAUAAUAUAAGCUAAAGUUAACAACUUUACGGUGAAGUUAUGAAAAUUCAAGGAUUGCUUUGAAACCCUUGAUGCUGCAUCAAUAUAAGACAUGAAAUAGGAAGAUACAAAAAGGGAGAAACAGGGCAUUUAAGA
rnacentral:misc_RNA from 1 species